rnacentral:tRNA from 1 species
GGUGGAGUGGUAUAGAGGUUAGCACACCUAACCGGAUAUCGGGAGUCCCGUGGUUCAAAUCACGGCUCCGCCA